rnacentral:lncRNA from 1 species
CCUGGGGAGCUCGAGGAGCCAGAAGGCAAAGCUAAUUCCAUCCCUGCCUUUUAGCAUUCCUGGAUCUAUAGUCCGGUCAUGAGAUCAUAGAAUCAGAUUUAGAUCAGAAGAGGACCUGAGAGGUCACUGAGUCCAAACCUUGCCCCUCUCCCCUUCUCCCUCAUUUUCCAGAGGCUCAGAGAACUUAAUAAUAUAGUAUCUGAGGAAGAAUUUGAACCCAAGACUUUCUGAUUCCAAGUCCAAACUCUACUACACCACUUCUUCAUUUGCCUUAUGAGGGUGAUAGUACUAAAAAUUCUGUUGUAAGGCUCAAAUGAUUUUCGGAAUCAGAGAUUUGAAGCUGGACCUUAUAAGUUAGUUGAUCCAAAUCCCCUAAUUUUUCCAGUGGGGAAAUAACUCUAGAGAAAUUGUCAGUCAAAGUCACCCAGGCAAGAUGACGGCUUAGUAGCGGUGGAAGUUGAAACUGCUCUGACAAUCCCUCAGAGUCAUGCAAGCAGUAAGUGGCAAUGCUGAGAUUUGAACUCUGAAUCCAGCCUUCUUUCCUCUUCACCGGGAGUCUUCCAUGUACAUUGCUUUUUUAAUGAUACAUUUCUGAGUUUUUAGUAACUUUCUUAAAUUACUCUCUCUUUCAUGCAAGGGCUGUCUUCCAACUUUGCCUUUUUCUUUUCUGUUUCUCAGCAGAUAUGACCUUCUUAAACUAAUGGUGCUCAUGUAUUUUGAUGGAGAAACUAAAGCAAAGGCUUCCUCUGCUGGUUCAUUUGUUUGUCCAGGGGAAAACAGCUAAGCCUGGCUGAGCCUAGAUCUCUCCAGCCCCUGGAGAACAUGUGUUAUGGGUGGACAUGAGUUUUGGCCUGUCCUGUAGAGUUCAAAACAAAAGACCAAAGUCUAGAAGGAGCCUGGAGGCAACCAACAUUCUAGAAAGAGGCUUCUCAGGAAGCUCUGGGUCUGUCUGCCAUGAUGGAAACCACCAACAGUGAGGCUUGCCACCUUCAGUCACCCUGAGAGUGAGACUGAGGUUGCUUUUUGUGUGCCCAUUGUUCUUAUUUUUCUCUGAUAUUUGAACUCGGGUUCUCUGAUUCCAAAUUCAUCGCUCUUCUACUGUACUGCAUUUGGUUAAUCAAUAAGCACUUUUUUAAAAUUAAAAUUUACUCAUUUAAUUUUGUGUUGGUUACAUUAAAUACCCAAGUAACUUCCUCUUGCUCUUUCCCCCACUAGAGAAGGCAUUAUUUGACUAUAUAUGUAUAUAUAAAACUAUAAAACUAUGUCUUACUUAUUUCUAUU